rnacentral:SRP_RNA from 1 species
GCUGGGUGUGGUGGCGUGCACCUGUAAUCCCAGCUACUCGGGAGGCUGAGGCAGGAGCAUUGCUUGAACCCAGGAGGCAGGAGGUUGCAGUGAGCUGAGAUCAUGCCACUGCACUCCAGCCUGGGUGACAAAGCAAGACUCUUUCUAAA